UCCCUCCCCUCCCCUGGUUGGGCGCGCGGAGGCACUAGCACUCUCGCCUGGGCUUCGCGCCGAAGCUGAGUGCCAGGGGGAUGGAUGCCUUACUGCGCGGGCAUCGACAUUUUCCUCUCUCUUAUUCCAACCCGUGUAUACCAAGCAGCUUGGAAUGAGGAACCGGACUCCGGGGAGCCCCACGUGAUGCCUGGGCUGAAAGGCACCUCUCUCCUGGCCUCUGAACCACCAAACUGGUUUUCCAAGCCCGGCUGAGAUGUCGUUAACCAGUUGAGACUCCUGGAAAGGCAAGUGGCUGUUAUCUAUGCUCAAAGUGCAGGCUGGUCUCCCUCCUAGGAGAUAAGGUGAAGAGGCUCAAGGAGCACCUCUUCACACUCCAGAACAAUAUUAAUGGAAAGAACAAUGACAACAAUUGAAGCUGAAGGCCAUGAAUUUCUAAUGACGGGACUCCUUUCCAAAGAAGAGAAUGCAUCUUGCCUCCCUUCUUUGCCGAAGUGGAGGUCUAUGUUUGGGGAACAUUGAAUAUACUCUUGGAUUUGAUUGCUAUGUUAGUUUUGCUGAACUGCUUCUGUCACUGCUCCCCCCUUUCUGUUUAAUUCUUUGUUAUAAAGGAUGACUCUGGGCAUGAAAAGGGGAAGGGUAUAUUGGGAAAGGAAAGUGAUAUAAAAACAAAGAACAUUUUUUUAAAAAAAAGAAAAUGUUGCUCAAGAAGACAUACUAC